GUGUGUGUGUGUGUGUGUGUGUGUGUGUGCAAUGUACCUCAUUGCACAACCAGUACCACAGCAGGGAACCCUUCUCGGCACCACCACUACAUUUUCAACUGAGGCAUUUAUCCCAAUCCUUCCCCUCAGCCACUAUUCCAACCUUCUUUGGAGGACAUUCCCCCUUCAUAUAGGCAGUUCAUAUCGUUUUAAUCCCUUACGUACCUGUAUGGCUACCUUCCCCUGUUUGUCCCAGGCCUCACAGGUGGUAUUUGUACAGCAGCUUGAGCUAUACAGUGCCAACAAGCCUGACCUUCAUUGUAUGAGUUUAGGAACCAAAAAUCUGUUUCCACAGCCAAGAUAGAAGACCAUAAAAAUUGGGUUGAAAGCUUCCCUAUGGAAAGGUUAUCAGUGAUCUGUAUUUGAAAAGGCCAUGUCCCCUCCCUGGUAGACAAGUCUAAGUGACCCUGUCAUGUAAUGCACAGCUUUACAUGCACAGCUGGACAAAGCAGUUUAAGUUGCUAGCCAGAAGCGAGAACUUGGUCCUGAGGAGUUUUGACAAACUUUCCUAACCACGCUGAUUAUUUCUGCUCAACUUCUACCUAUCCAAACACGAGAUAUUGGUGACUAGAUAUCCAAAGUUUACUCCAGUGACCCAAGGCAACUAUACUUGAAGAUUAGAAACUUCAGCUCUUUCUUAUGUAAUCAGGCAGAGAAUAUGGAAGACCACUGGCUGGAAACAGAACUGACUUCCCAAAGCACAAAAAGCAGGUUUGUCUUAAGUACACUCCAAGUUCUGUAAGAGCUUUCAAAACAAAUUCCUGGAAGUGCCCUUCACUGAUAUUCCCCAUCCCACACUCCAGCUAUGUGAAAUGCUGGCACACAGUAAGUCCAGGUGAGGCUCGUGGAUCCUCAGGCUGACACUUCUGUACUUUUCUGGCAAGCAAGGCUUGGGUUUGUCUUCCCAGCUAGGCAAGACAGAUCUCCUGGAAAAUGUUCUCCUGUUGCACUGGCUGCUUCUCUUGGGGGCCCCAGACCCUUCCACUGGUUCGUUGCUAGCGCCACCCAGGCUUUGUUUCUGAAAAGCUGUAACCCUUUAGCCCGGUCCUUUCAGUUUUCUGGGCAAAAGUUUUCCCUAUAACAAAUGUUCUCUGAUCGACCCAGGAAGAGCUUCUGGCUUGGUUUUCUUGAUGUAAGGUCAGAAUUGAACUUACGCUAACCUUUAAUUAGCUUGUAAGAGCAUCAAGUCAGUGAGAAAAGGUUAAGUUAUUGAAACUAAGGUUAGAGAUUAGAGUCCCCUUUAAGAUGAGAGCCUAAACUUGUCCUGCGUUCCAUUCUAUUAACCAAAGGAGGUCUUCCUAAAGUGAAAUUAAACUAAAAGCAAGCUACUAGCAGUCUGGAUAUGAAGCAAGCUUUUAAUUUGAGGUCAUCACAAGGGUAAGGUGGGUAGAAAGCUUACAACAUUCCUAGUAUGCUCCUUUCUAGACAAAGCGGUAAAAAAAUUUGUGUUUGAGUUGAGGUAGGAAACUUUCUGCAUAGAGGUAUUAUCCGUAGAAUCUGACUUCUCUGGGUUUUCAUGAUGUUGAGGUAAAACAUCUAUGGUUUUAUUCCUAAUGGUUUUUUAAUGAGAAAACAGAAGUGGCUGCCACGUUUACAUGUACAUGAGAUUGUGGAGACCUGGAAAACACCAGCGGUUUUCAGGUCUACUGGGAAACACUUGGUCUCAUGGAAAGUGGUUAGGACAAAAGAGCAUCAAGCCCUGCCACAGAGCUUCCAUGAAGGGAAGUCGCUCUGGGUUAGCCCAGAGCAGUAGACAAGACCAGAGACUGACAGGAGUGAUUCUGAAGAGUCCAGUGAGUCACAGCAGGGUCUUGCCCUCACUUACGGUUUCCCACAGAAUUAACUCAAUGUAUGGCAGAAAGCACCAUUUUGUCCCCUACGCUACUACCUCUUAGAUUGAGACUUUCGUGAAAGACCCCAUACUAUUUCAGGUCACCAAGAGCUUGGGUUCUUCUGCUCCAGUUCUCGGGAAAGGCUAGGCUACACAUGCUGAGCUAGUCCAAACCUCACUACCUGGUCUAAGGGAGCCCAGUUGACCAGAAAGGAAAGGAGUAGCCAAGUGUUUGGACACUUGGCUAUCUCUGCAGAAACACAAAGGCUAUGACGAAGUAGGCUGAAAAGUCAGAGCCCCGAUAGCCAGGGCCUCCCAGAGGCCUCUACUUAGAGCCAGCCAUAUAAAUCCCCUUUCUAGUUGUUGCUCACUCCUAGUUUGAGUUACUCAACUACACAAUUCAGUUGCAAAGGAUGGAACACUAGGAACCAACAUGGAAGAGAUGCUGCCAAGCCUUGACAGCUUAGGCUCAAGGAAUGGGGCUAUGCAGAGGGGAGCCUCUCAAACUACCACACCUGGAACUGAAGCCAAGUGAUCUAGGCAGAGGGAGUGCAGGGCCAUCUGUCAAAAGCUACUUACAGAAUUAUCAGUAUGCCCAGCUUCCUACUGAUUACCACUGAAGCCUCAUGGCCCAGAAACAGAGGUCACAUUCUCAGCUUUUGGAAGAGCUUCAGUAACUCGUUCAAGACAAGCAAUGUGGCAGGAUCUAGACCCAAACUACAUCUGGCCCCAAAGCCUGUGACAUGAGCAUUUUGGCCAUAUCACCUAUCACACACUUCCCUGCCAUUGAGGGUCUAUUAUGGAAAGCCUAGAAGUCAAGCUUUGUCAUGAGUGGCUUUUCUGUACGAAGUUCAGAAGCUGUACUCUGCUUCUGAAGCCAUCCAUGUAGCAGCUCUGGCAUGAUUAAGUCAGAAUACAGAAAGCCUAGACAACUGAGUUGACUAGCUCAUCAGCAAUAACUGACAGCCUUGAGUUCACCCACGUCACAAGUCUGCCUGUGGACUCAGCAUGUUUCAGUCUAUCAGUUGAACAGGCUGGGACCCUGUCAGGACUAGAAACUCGAUUCUGUGAGCUUCAGAUUUGGCCUUGGUAGAGCCCAACAUCCCUCAACUGAUGUUGGUUCUGUAUCCAUACCACAUACCUUCUAGGCUCACAAGCUGACUCAGCCAAUGUAAGGUUUUAGGGACCUAUGGCACCUGGGUUUAAGUCACUGUCAGUUGUCCUCCACCCUUGCCCUUUUGCCUGUCCCCAGGAACUUGCUGCUCAAUUAAGUGCUAGAUCUGAAGGUCUGCAUGAAUUCCCGGCCAUCUCCCCAGCACUUAAUCAUGAGAAGUUACAGCCGUGGCUAACAGUGAGGCCAAUAGCACCUGUGGAGUAUAACUGGCAAGGCUUCAACCUUCAAGAGUCAAGAUUCUAUCCAUUCCUCUCGGACUCUUUUGUUAAGGCAGCUAAAUAGUUUGAGUGAUCCUUUCUGGAUUACUGGCCCAGGUUUGACCUUACAAGAUUCUUUAUCUCCAACCAUUUUUUGGGAACCCCAAACUAAGCAACUUUUCAUCCAUGCUUUAAGGAUACUUGAAAAAAAUUUCAGGAACAGCCAUACAAUCCCAGGUGCAAGGUCUGGGCAGGUGAGCACUAAGCAGACAAUGAGACGCCAUAGCUGGAUUUAGAGAACCUGCCGGGCUACAAGAAGUAUAAGGCAGUUUGGUUCGAGUGAUGUACUUGUUACCAAUUAGUGCUAUUCUACACGAAGUGCAAAUGCUAAGACAGCCGGGACAAGCUCAGUAGGAGUACUGUACCAGCUAACAUUUACUUAGCACAUACUAAGAUCUACACUGCACUAUAUCCAGAAUUACAAACCUCAGCUUAAGUGACUUUGGCAGGUUCAGUAACUUGCCCAAGUAGAACCAUUAAAUGAUACAUCCCAGGUUAACUCGAGCCCCUAUCCUCCAAACCACUCGUUACACUGCUGUGAAAUUAUUUCCACAUACAGAACCAGAGACUGAUGCCCUGGUCAAGUACUUCCAAUUCAAGAGUAGUUCUAGUCCUGAAACCAGACUCUAGCACUCCCACCUCCAAUCUGAAGUUACUCACUCCUUUAGCACUUGAAGCAGCUUUCAGAAGAGAUACUCAAGUUGUAAGUUCUCGUACUUUGGCCCAGAACUAGCUCACGGCUGGGCAGACCCCACACUGACUCCCCUUGCCCCGUUUUCAAGGCAGGCUAACAAGUCCCAUGCAGCUUCCCAGUUCAGCAGGCUGAGCCACUCUUCCAGGCCUCUGGUUCUCCUGCUUCCCAGGCAAGCCGCAUCUAGCGGUCAGGUGAGUAACAGCUUCCUCAGAUUACCCUUGCGCAUAUUUAGGCUUUGCUUCUUCAAAGCCGUCUGCCUGUUUUAGUAUAAUACUGGGUCCCUCCACAUUAGCUAUACUGCAUUAGGGCUGCGCUCUAGCCCAUUCCUGAGAACUGCCAAGGAGAGUACCCACAUGUAGCUGUUAACUGGAAAAACACUCAUCCAGGUAGAGAAUAUGCCAGGCCAUCACUUAUAGCUGUGGUGUGGAUGCCAAGCUCCUCUCAGGUGAGGUUGAGUAUGGUGGCUUGGACCUAAGCCAUCAGGGAGUUUCUAAAAGCCAUUUGCUUACGAUCCUAUUAGAGACAUUCCUGUGAGUUAAGUUCCUAAAGAUAAUCUAUAUCCCAGGGUGGUACCUAAGGAGUUUGAGCUACACCUAUUGGAGAAAACCCUAGUUUUCAAGAUUAAUGCUGGAACUAUCAUCUGCUGUUCCAGUUUAACUCACUGGUAUUCUCUUCAGUUGGAGAAAACAGUCUUCGGGUUUAAGAUUUGGGCAGAUUCAAAAUCGUGCUUGUCGGGCUUUUGUAACACUUUUUCCCCUUUUGUCAGUGGCAGAAGAAAACGAGAAGAGAUUUUAGGACAAGAUUUUUCACAACAACCCUGUAGCUGCUUAUUGCUAAAGGAAUGUAUUAGAAAGCUUAAAGAAUAGAAAAACAAGCAAGGGGCCACUAUCCCCAAGACCUGGUCACAGAAGCCGGACUUUGGAUUUGCUCAAGGGUAGAAAAAUGUUUGUUAUAGCAGACAAGUCUCAUUUGUCAUCUAAUAAAAGACCAAGAUGUCACUACCUGCUGGAAGCUUUUGAGUUUUUGGCUUCCAAGUUCAGACAGCAAGUAAUCCCCUCAGGUUAAUAUGUUGCAAUUCAAACUUAUCUGUACAAACCCUAUUGCCUAGGAAAACUUACAGCUGUAAGGACCUUAGAGCUAGCCUCCCCACUCCAAGUACACACAAGAACACACCUAGCUCCCAAGGAACCCACUCCUAAGUAAGGUUCUCUCACGGAAGAAGAAACAGCUUUCCCAAGCACAGUCUUCGUUUUUUAGCUACCAUAACAGUUUUAGGCGUUUUCCUGGGUCAUACAUAUAAUACCCAGGAGAGGUUCUCCCACAAAGGGACAAGCAAAAAAAGCAGUGGGUUCGGGGGCAGGAUUUUUAACAGACCCGAUAAGGACUCCUGCCUUUAAGUCAGUUUACCCGUUAGUUCCCUGAAAGUCACGUGAAGGAGGCCAGGAAACAAAUGCUGCUUCACUCACCGUGGUUUAGAUUUACUACACAGGCAAGGAGAAGAAAGCCACCCUAAAAAUGCAGGGAAGUCAGCUUUCAGAGACCAGCGUCCCAUCCUGAUCCCCCAAUCCCCUUUUCGUAACACUUUCUCGUAAAGGCUUUAUACCCACAUUUCAGAGCUCUUCCCUUUCCCACAGCCUUCCUCUUUAAAAAGAAAAGAGCUUUAUACCAGCACUUCCCCAUAAUAUUCCUAUUAUGGAAAGAAAGAAAACGGCCUUAUACCAACACUUCCCAGCUUUUCCGUGGUUUCCCAAAGCCUUCCUAUUUGGAAAGAAGGAAAAAAAGAAAGAACAGGCUUUAUGCCAACAAUUCCCAGCUUUUCCCUACUUUUUUUUCUCAUAACCUUCCUAUCUAGAAAGAAAAAGAAAGAGACUUUAUACAAACACUUCCAAGCUUUUUCCUACUUUCUUCACUACAACCCAGCCACCCUACCACCCCCAGCCACAAGCUCUGCUUGUCUAUUUUAUAGACAGUGAAGACUAAGUUCCCAGCGCCCACCCACCAGCCCCAAAGCACUCUGGGUGAACAGCUACUCCUCUGGUUUCUCAUUGGCUCUCUCACUGUCAAUCAACAGCUUGUUCCUAGCCCAAGCAUUUCCUGGUCCACGUUACCAAUAGCAGAAAGAAGUGGAGGUUUAUUGCUUGGCUGUAGACAGCACGAGCAAGAAAGGUAGCCUCCCACCCCGAGCAGCUGCUGUGAUUAGAAAACGAGCGUGAGCCUCUUCACUGAAGGAAUAGAUGAUUAUCCUUUGGGUUCGCCCUGCUUCCCUGUUAUUAAGAAUCAGCUGAAAUGCCUGAAAAUUGUCGAGUUUCAGGGCUUUUCCCUGGAAAUGGCACACCUCCCAGAUGCAUCUUCUUCACAGGGUUGUUGCAAGGUUUGAGAAAAUGAACUAAUAUACAUGACUGAGAAUAGCGUCUGGACCACAGCUCUCCCAAUCCUGAAGAGAUUAUGUAAGAGUCUAGCACAUUUUAAAGGUCUGAAGAGGAAAUAUUUGUCAUCUGUUGUCUCUAAGGGCAGCCACUCUACAACUUCAAAAGAACCUUGGUCUCCACAAUCUCUUAUCUUAGCCUGAACAUUUCCUUUCUAUUCAUCCCAGGUCUUUAGAUAAACUCAACCAAUUGUCAAUCGGAAAAUGUUUAAAUUUACCUAUAGCCUGGAAGCCUCCACUUUGAGUUGUCCUGCCUUUCUGGACCAAAUCAAUGUAUCUCUUAACUGUAUUUGAUAUCUCAUGGCUCCCUAAAAUGUAUAAAACCAAGCUACACCCUGACCACCUUGGGCACAUGUUCUCAGCACCUCCUGAAGGCUGUGUCACAGGCUAUGGUCACUCAUAUUGGGUUCAUAAUAAAUCUCUUCAAUUAUUUUAGAGUUUGACUCUUUUUGUUGACAAAGCCAUUACCACCUUUAUUAUUUCCAUGGAUUAGUUAUUAGUAAAACCAUUUUAUAAAUGAAGAAACAGAAGCUCAAGUAACGUGGCUACAUUUAUACAUGGAUCCAACCUGAGUUUAUGUGGGAGAAUCUAGGGCUAACUCCAAGUCUAAGAUUUCAUAUGCUGAUAAAGACAUACCUAAGACUGGACAAUUUUUAAAGAAAAAGAGGUUUAAUGGACUCACAGUUCCACAUGGCUGGGGAAGCCUCACAAUCAUGUUGAAUGGCAAAAGGCACAUCGUAUAUGGCAGCAAACAAGAGAAUGAGAACCAAGUGAAAGAGGUUUCAUUUUAUAAAAUCACCAGAUAUCAUGAGGCUUAUUUACUACUGUGAGAACAGUAUGGAGUAAACCAUCCCAUGAUUCAACUAUCUCCCACUGGGUCUCUCCCACAGCAUGUGGGAAUUCUGGGAGAUACAAUUCAAGGUAAGUUUUGGGUGGGUACACAGCCAAAUCAUAUCAACAUCUAUAAAAAAUCACAUCUGCCCAACACUGCAAAAUUUGUAUGAGUCUUCAACAUAUCCUUAACUUGGCUGUAUUAUCCAGUGAGAGUAUCUCAGGGGUGCUCUCUUCUUCCAGGAACCCCCUAAUCAGGGGAUAAUUGAUCUUUAACAGCUAAAGUUGCUCAGUGUUUUUCUAAUUGCACAUGGAAGUUAAAAGAAACAAACAAAAACAAGAAACUUCUUAAUGUUUGACCGUGUUGCAAUUACCAAAUCAAGUUCUGUGCAACCAUCACUCCAUCAACUGAGCCAGCACACAGUUGAUCAUGAUGAAUACAUUCUAAGGAAGGGUUUACGACAGUAGAAAAAUUAAUCAUUUUUUUUACUAUACCCUUAUCAGACCAGGGAAAUCAAUCUUGAUGUGGGCAUAAAAAUUCCCCAACCCUUGUGUUUCUUUGGCUAUCUAUUUUCCUUAGUAAAGAUUAUAAAUCACAGCAUUUUCUUCUUCAUCCUGUGAAGAGAAAUUAUAGCCCAAUUCUGGGCUAGUGCAACCCACUAAGUAUGGAAGUGGCCACAGUGCAUAUGCACCGAGCAAGCUCAUGUGAACAAAGCCCCCUGCAUCUGGGCCAGGAGAAGGAAAUAGAUGACACCUAUGAUUGCUGCAAAGAUCUCUGGCAGGCAGGGCUUUCUGAAAGCAGUUUUGAGUUAAAGGCUGCAGUGAGCCAUGUAUCCUUGCAAAACAUUUGCUCUUUUCCCUCAGCUAAAAUGGCAGAUUUACUAAGGUGACCAGAUACUUUUGGGAAUGAAAGAAGGCUCUGUUAGUCAUGUAGGAACAGUAAAUGCAAACUAGACUGUCCCAGUGAUAUGAUUUGUCUGUGUCCCCACCCAAAUCUCAACUCGAAUUGUAUGUCCCAGAGUUCCCACAUGUUGUGGGAGGGACCCAGGGGGAGGUAAUUGAAUCAUGGGGGGGCAGGUCUUUCCCAUGCUAUUCUCCAGAUAGUGAAUAAGGUUCAUGAGAUCUGAUGGGUUUGUCAGGGGUUUCCACUUUUGCUUCUUCCUCAUUUUCUCUUGCUGCCACCAUGUAAGAAGUGCCUUUCACCUCCCACCAUGAUUCUGAGGCCUCCCCAGCCAUGUGGAACUGUAAGUCCAAUUAAACCUCUUUUUCUUCUCAGUCUCAGGUAUGUCUUUAUAAGCAGCAUGAAAAUAGACUAAUACACUCAGAUAAACUAGACAUGGACAUGUGGUCUCCAUAGGUUUAGGAAGAUACAACUGAUAACAAGGUGCAAUUGACUGAAAUUUUGCAUCCACUCAAAAUUUAUAUGUUGGAAACCCUAAUUCCAAUGUGAUCAUAUUUGAAGGUAGAAUCUUUGGGAAAUAAUUAGGUCAUGAAGGUAGGGCCCUCAUUAAUGGAAUUAGUGCUCUUUUAAAAAGAGACCAGCAAGUGACCUCGCUCUCCAUUGACCAUAUGAGGGUAUAGCAAGAAGACAGCCAUCUGAGAACCAGGAAUUGGGCCCUUACCAGACAUUGCAUCUGCCAGCAUCUAGAUCUUGGACACCUUAUCUUGCAGAACCGUGAGAUAUUUAAGUUGUUUAAGCCACCUACUUCAUGGUCUUUUGUUUUAGCUGACUAAGACAUA